CGAUCCGGCGCGCUUAGACGCAUAAGGACCAAAGCACCGGUGGGAAGAACCAACCCACCCACCCCACCCCACCACCGUCGGACCCCCGUCGCCCGGUCGGGUGAACUGUGCCAACCGGGCUGGAUUCGAAGAUGGUUGGCGGGCAUAUGCUCGGCCCCGACAACGACCACAGACAUGAGACGGCCCCCGGCGGGACUGGCAUCCCGGUCGAGGGCCUGACCAAGUAGGAAGCAGCCCUUCCU
rnacentral:ncRNA from 1 species